rnacentral:lncRNA from 1 species
AUUUGAUAUUUGAUAUCUUUUAAAAAAGGAAACAACAUUGAAUUUCCAAAUAAGAUUAUCUUUUUAAAAUAAAACAAUAAAAAUACAUAAAAAUAGUUACAAAAAAUAAAUAAAUAAAUAUUUGUAAGUCUUCAGCAAAAUAUUAAACCCUAUACCCUAAAUCUUAAACCCUAAACCCUAAACCUUAAACUUUGGAUAAACUCUAAACGUUUGAAAAUCUUAAACCCUAAAUCAUACAUUAAAAACUAAAUUUUAAUAACACUAAACCCUAAAUCCUAAUCACUAAACCCUAAACCCUUGGAUAAACCCUGAACCCUUGGAUAAAUCAUA